UGCUGGUCGUAAAGCACUCUCUCUCGGAACACUGGGCCUUGCCAGGGGUAAGCCGUGCAAGCUGUCUGUCCAGAGCG
ensembl:snoRNA